GUAACUUUUGAUCAAUUUAGUCUAUUUUUAUAGUGGAUAUGAUGUACAAUAAUUAUUGUACACCCGAUUUUUGUAAGUUUGUGAACAUUAACAGGUGUUACCUUGAGUUUUUGGGAUAAAAAUAAUUUAGAUUAAAAUUUCAAUUAAAAAAAGGUAGUGUUAAUUCCUAAGUUUAACAAUUUUUUUUUUGAAACAUAAGUUUAACAAUUUCAUUCAUUUUUUUUUUUUUGCGGGAAACAAUUUCAUUCAUCUAGCUAGGUUAAUACUAUCUUUCCAAAUAAAAAAUAAAAUAAAAGUUAGGUUAAUACUAUUAGCACCAAAGGAAAUUAAAAAAAAAAAAUUUGGGGCAAAAUUUAUUCUGAAACCGCCAAAUUAAACAAAAUCAAAAGUUGUAUUUCAUCCUCUUCACAGGAGGAACGAAAUUCUCUAACCUAGUUUCAUCAGAAAAAUCAAUUGAAUACACCCGGUUUACACUAAUAUCCUCUUCACAGCGCAAUUUCAUCAGAAAAAUCAAUUGAAUCCUUGAUCGUGUAGCGCAAUUACAUCAGGGAAAUCAGUCGUUUCCUUGAAGCUGUGGGUAUCAUCAAAAUCGUGCUCCAAUUUAAGUCAGGUGUGCUAAGGUGCUCAAACUUCCAAUCAGGAAGCGAUGGCAGAUUAUGAGAAAGCUAGACAAGCAAGGAUAGAACAAAACAAAAGCAGAAUGAAGGAUUUGGGGGUUAUGUCCAUGGCUUAUCAGCUGAAACAAUCUAUGAAGGGAUCGAAACAAACAUAAAAAAGUAAGAAGGUGACUAAAGGUACUGACGAGUACACACCUAAUGAAGAGGGUGAAUUGAACCACUGAAGUGAAGAGGAUGAAAAUCAGAUAAGGAAAAACAGUGUAAACUUGAGGUCUCAUUCGAAAAAGGAGUUUUUUUUUUCCCUGACAACUUCAUUAUGUGAAUCAGAAUUGAUAAAAAGUCAUGGAAUACUUUUAAUGUUUUUGUCAAAUACUUUAUUGCAGGAUGUGGCAUUGAGAGGGAAGAUUCCCACAAACAUUAAAGACACAACAAGUGUCUCUUCAGUACCAAUGGCUAAUCUUGUUAAGAUACGUCAUCAAAACACCGAAAAACAACAAGUAGGGCAAGGGUUGCAAGGGACAGAUUCAACGCAAAGAAAAGUCCAAUUAGGCAAGUCUAAUGCACAGAAAAAUCUAUCGUCCCAUAGUUAGCAAGAGAAAGAGGUUGAGCUUGGGAAGGGUGUCCAAGCUAUGAUAGCACAGAGUAAGACAGUGGUUGCUCCUGGUUCACUCGGUGCUUUCAGGCAAAUGAAAACAAAAUUGAUAGAAAAAGAGAAAAGAGCAAAACAAACUGAUUUAUUACAACGAUAACUACAACCUGUUAACAGGACUAGUUCACAGGUCCUUUUAAGGGGUUCGCAAGAAUUUUUCACAACCACAAAGAAUUGAACCUAACUUACAGGAAGAUUACGAGAAUCAUAUGUGUUCAAAUGAACGCAAUUUGGAACAAUAUGCAGAUGAAGAAGAUAAGUAUAGUGAGGAUUUUAAUACUCUUACCCCCGAGGAGCUAGGAAUGCAAGCUGAACCAUUAAUGAAUCAUGAGCAUGAAAGUGAACAAAUAGUACUUCCAAAAAAGAAGCAUACCAGAGGACCUACUAUGUGUAAGGAUGUUCAUGAAUGGACAUUAGAAGAGCGUAAGCUUAUUGUUCUUAAUGAAAUGGGAAAGCCUAUUGGUCCUGACGAUAAGACCGUAGAUACAUUUACAAGAUUCUUAGGGACAUUAGCUCGUAAUGCUUCUCUAGCGCCGUUGAACAAGAUUAAUUGGCAUCAUGUUAAAGACAAGGAUGAAAUUUGGAAUUAUGUGAAGAAGAAAUUCAUUAUCCCUGAAGAAGGUAAGGGCAGUGUAGUGUCAUCCGUGGGAAGGAUCUGGCGUAAAUAUAAAUGUAGUGUAAAGGCAAGAAACUUUACUCCAUAUGACAAUAAUGGUGAUAGGUUGGCAGAUCCACCUAUUACAAUUCCAGAAGCGCAUUUCAAAGAGUUGCUAGAAUUUUGGAAUGAAUUUGGAACAAGUUCAGGAAGACAGCAAAAAGAAAAGUGAAAUAAGUAAAGAUCAAAUAGAUAGGCACACUAUGGGUCCUUGACUUUCGCGAGGAAACAACAUAAAUUGCAACAACUAGAUGUUGAAAAGAAGCCACCAUCCUUAGCACACGUGUACAAAGAAAGUCGUAAAAGGAAAGCAGACAAACAAUACAAAACUUCUUACGAGCCCACUCAAAGUAACAUUACAAGAUGGAGGAAGUCCAAAUGCAAAGUGAAAUUGAUGGAGAUGUUGCAUACUUUGAAGUAAUGAAUUAGCCAAAUAACUUUGGCCUUAAAAAAAAGCAACCAGGGAUAUGUUCAAUAAGGGGAAAAAGCAACAAACCAAUAAUUCCCGAUGAGUUCCUAAAGCCCUAUAAAGACGAAAUUGUGAAAGAAACAGUAGUAGAAUUAAUGAAGACGCUCAAGCAAAUUGAUCCUAAAGUGGUGGAUACUUUGACUCGAACAGUUGAAAAUGUGUCAUCCAAUCUAGAGCAUAGAAAUCAAGUUCCAAAUUUAGACUCUGAACAACAAAAAAAUGAGGAUGAAAUUGUUGAAGAUGAAGGCUUAGACUAGCAAGUCAAGAUGCAUGCUGCUGAUUGCAUAAAUGUUCCGCUCUCUACAGUUUUUGCUCUCUGCCUGUUACCGCUUUAUGCUGUCAAGAUGCCUAUUUUAUGCUAGCUGUUACUGCUUUCUGCUGCAGUUUUCUGCUCGUUGUUGCUGAUGCAUGCUGUUGUUUUCUGCCCAUUGUUGCUGAUGCAUGUUGUUGUUUUCUGCCCGAUGUCUGCUACUACUAUCGCUGUCUGUUGCUACCGCUAUUUGCAGCUUUGGUGCUGCUCUAAUUCCUUCUAGGUGCUGCUUAUGAUAUCUGCUGCUGUGCUCCUGCUGAAGUUACUAUUGCUUUUUUUUUUUUUUUUUUUUUUUUUU